rnacentral:rRNA from 1 species
UACGUAGGGCGCAAGCGUUAUCCGGACUUAUUGGGCGUAAAGAGCUCGUAGGCGGUUUGUCGCGUCUGCCGUGAAAGUCCGGGGCUCAACUCCGGAUCUGCGGUGGGUACGGGCAGACUAGAGUGAUGUAGGGGAGACUGGAAUUCCUGGUGUAGCGGUGGAAUGCGCAGAUAUCAGGAGGAACACCGGUGGCGAAGGCGGGUCUCUGGGCAGUAACUGACGCUGAGGAGCGAAAGCGUGGGGAGCGAACAGG